GGCUGUGCUCGGCGCUUUGAUCACGAGCUGCUCGCACAGAAAGCCCCCGGCCCCAAAGAUUCGUGGGGUCCUGGGCACGCAGCUCCGGAACCGGCAGCACCUCCGGGUGCGCUCUGCCAAAAUCCCCCCCCGGGGAGGAUGGACACCCCCUCCUGCCGUCACCUCGCUGAUGGAGAAAGGCAGCUGCUUCAGCGCGAUGGUUGCUGAGGGGACUAUUGAGACACACUGGCAGACUCCUCAUCUGGUUCCACCUUCCUGGAGAUGCAAUGCAGAUGGAUCCAGAACGCAGGUUAGCUUCCAUAGAUCUAAAUGGUGGAGUCUUCAACUAGUAAACAGAGGGAAUGACUGCUCUUCUUUGCUGUUGUAGAAAUGCAGCAAUGGGUAAAAACAGUCAGAUGUUGGAGCAGGGAUCUCUGCUGCGUGACAUGGUUUCACCCGGAAACCUUUGCUGCGUUAGCUCUAUUGGCACUCUUCAUCUCUGGUUCUUGAGAUGCUGCCAAGAGGGAGGUGACCCUCAUCCAGGGUCCAGGAGCAAGCAGGGACAGGACUGGGGAUACAGCCCUGUGCCCAAGCAUCUCCCUGCUCACACAGGAGCGUGACCCACCAGAGGUGGCAGGUGGAAAUCAAACGUAAUUUGGGACUGUUGGAGCCAGGAAAGAGUGAGAUGAGUCCUAGUGGGGAGACCAGCCUCACCUUUCAUAUUCUAAUGCCUUGCCUUUGCCUGAUUUGUGAGCUCUGGGGAGUCCUGCUGGGAAUUCACUCGAACGGAGGCACACGCUGCCGUCCCUCGGUAAAUUACACAGAGAUAUAAUGAAGGAGGAGAAAUCAGUUACUCUGUGACUGCAGCUCCCCGGGGGACCUUAAUUCAAAUAUUUGUGGAGCUGAGCAAGUGGGGCGUUGGGGAGCCGUGGAGUUGGAGUGUCUCUCCACAGGUUUCUGCAGGUGGUUGGUGGUGGCAGGGCUGUGCACUGUGCCGUGGGAUCCUUCCCCAAAGGGCUUUGAGCUCUUGGUGGUGUUAGCCAAGAGGAAGGUGAUGAGGAAAUAUGGAGGGUUGGUGCUGCAUCUUCCUUGAAAACAGAGGUGCACAUGGUGGUGGCGGUUGAGAUGUUUGGGAUGACUGUGGGGUGAUGGGGGAUCUGCCCAUGGCUCUGCAUUGCCCCAAGGGCUGUGGCCCAGCUGGGGAUAGCUCAGUCAUGUUUCCUCCAGCUAGAUGGGAGCAGGGCAUGUGUGGGUUUGAGAAGUGUUGGGAACUCUUCUCCACCACCCACACGGCCAUUACGUUCAGAAGGGAUCAUAAAAAGUGUUCCAUGCCACGAGGCAGCGGGUGAACCCCAUGUUGUUCAACUCAGGCACGAGAAAAUCGAUUUACCUCCAGCUCCACUGCCAGCCUGUGCCUUCUGUGCGCCCACAAACCAGGCUCACAGGGCAUGCCCGAAACAAGUCCCACUUCACCCUGACAGCCCAGGCUGUGACUCAAUGGGGUCCCACACCAUCAACCCAGGUGCUCAGAGACACCUGUACAGCCAGGAUAAUGCACGCAAGUGUGAGCACACGCUCGUCGCACGCCUGCUCUCACGUGCAUCAGCUCUGCUGGCAGCACUGUGCCGCUCCGCUCCCAUGCCGACAUCCCGCACCGAGUGCACGGCACCACAUUUGCACACACAUGCUCGCUCCGAGCAGCACGGCUGAGCUUCGUCUCAGGAUGUCGUAUACAAUGGGGGCAAUCCCACUCACGCCCACACCCGAGUGCAAAGCCCCCACGCCUUCCCCUUGCACACACAGCACCUCGGGUCGGCACGCACACGCGGUACGGAUCUGCGGCACGCCAACUGUUGGGAAAAAAAAAAACCCACACAGAUUCAGCCGAGAGAGAGAGAGAGAGAGGGGGAAAGAAAGAGAGAGAGAAUGACAGACUGCAAUCCCCCUUGAGUGCCUAUCCUCAUGAAUAUUAAUAAGAUGGUAAUUAAAAUGCAGGGACACAGCAGGACGGAUGCAGGCGCUGCCUUCGGAGCGCUGGGAACGGGGGGAGCGCGUCUUUCCAGGCAGGUUUUGAUUCCGUUCUCUGAUGAAAAGAAGAAAACGGAGCCUUCAACUUUAAUCAGUUUAGAGUUUUUUUGACACGACAUAUCUUUAAUUGCUGAUAUUUCUGCUCUCCUCAAACCCAGCUCUACCGUCUCCAGUCUAACCAGAGAUAACGAACCGCGGUGAAGCGCCACGGAUUCGUGCCGUGUUUACGCCUCGACUUGUUUUCUACUUUGCUGGGGUUUCACUUCUUUGCCUCAGGUCGGAGGGCACGGCCCUGGCACACCCAGCAAGGGGUGGGGGGCUGGAAAUGGAGCCCGACAUCUCUUUGUGUAGCCCCCUCCCCAUAGACUUCCCCUAUUGCAGCCAUAGGGAAACCAACCUCUUGUAGGUGCUCAUCUCCUCUUGGCCAUGGCUUCCUCUGGAGGAUGCUUGGAGCAGGCUCACAGGUCUCUGAACGAGGGGAACUGAAGUGUUGCUUGCUUUUGGUGAAGAUCAUCCACUGGGUCUGAUCUGUGGAUGGAUGAGCAUCCAAUGGCUCUCAUCCAUGGAAGGAGAACAGUGUUGAUGGGAAAAUGAAGGAAGAGUGUUGGUUGGUGCCCAAAGAGAAUGUCUUGGGUGUGAAAGUAGGACCAGGUCAGCACAGAGAUGUGGAUGAUGUAGGAGGGGCUUUCUGGCAAAGAGAAAAAAAUAAGGACCCACAAAAUGCCCCAUACCAAUAUGAAUAUUUAGUUUAGGUCAAGCCAUAAUGUUUGGUUUGGACAGAAAGGGUUUUUUUUUCAUUGUGUUUGGAGGUGGCUUAUUUUCUUUAGAUCUCCUCUUUUGCAUUGAGGUAAUCUUUGAGCUGAAAGCAGUAGGUUUGCUGGAAUUUAAAAAAAAAAACAACAAAACAACUUUCAGAAAAUGCCCAAAUACAAUUUGUCAUGCAAGUGAUGGAAGAUGGUUUGCAUUUUCAAACCUGCCCAGCAUACACACCAUGCAAUAUCCCUGCAGGAAAAGCAGAGCUGCAGCACCCUGGAGCUCUCGAGGUUCUGUUGUACAGCAGGGCAAUGCUGGGGUAUAAUGAGAUGUUUUCAGGUUGGAUAUUAGGAAAAGCUGCUUCUCCAAAAGAGCGGUGCUGCGCUGGCACAGCUACCCAGGAGUGAUGGGGUCACUGUCCCAGAGGUGCUUCAGAGGAGAUGUGGCACUGAGGGCCGUGUCAGUGGGUGUGGUGGGGUGGGAUGGAGUUGGACCUGGGGAUCUGAGAGGGCUUUUCCAUCCUGCACGAUUCUGUGACUCAUCUCUUAUCACAGACCUUCCCAGAGAGGUGUGGGAUCCCCUUCCUGUACCCAGCACUCUGUGGGAUGCCUGCUCAGCCCAGCUGACCAUGGAGCACCUUUGCCAUGAAGCCCCAGCCCACUUCCCAAACCCCAUGGGCAGCAGGGGGGUCUCCCUGUCAUCCUGCCCUACAGCAAAGCUGCUUCAUACUUGAUAUGAGCUGAAGCCAAGACUGAUGGUGAACUGCCACAAA